CGCUGGUGCGCCGCUUCGUGCAGCUGUGGCGCUGCGUGCGAGUGGCCUCCGACUGGCUGACCCUGGUGCUGCUGGUGCUGUGCUGCCAGUGCGGGGCACGGCCUCCUGCCUCGCGCUCCACCACGCCCGGAGAGACAAUAUGUCUGCAUGACGCGGUGGAUAUCGACAAGGCGAGCGGUGAGCCCGUGAACAUUGAACUGAUACAAGACAACAAAAAUAAAUCUUCAUCAAAAGAUACAUCGAGGGAUUUUCCCAAAGUACAUGUUGUGUUAAAUAGAUCAAAUAAAAACAGUAAAACCUAAGAAGAUUAAUAAAAGGCAUUUAUUUUCUCAAAAUUUUUAGAAUUCUUUUUGAUGUCAUUUCAAAUAACUACUAGAUACAAGAUACUACUACCGCUUCGGAAACAAAUGGCGCUCUGAGAGAGAAGAAGCGGCGCAAGAAACCCUCCCAGCAUUCUUUUUUUGCGCUCUUUUCAAUAAUAAUAUACAAUAUUGUACAGUCAUUUAUAUCGCUAUAAAAUAAUCCAGGCUGUCCGAUCAUUUAGAUAUUCAGCAGUGGAGUAAUAGGAUUUACGACGGAGCCAUUUUUUAUAAAACAUUUAAAUUUAUUUAUAGAGAAUGCCUGAACAGUGGCUGGGACUUUAUUAUAGAAAUGUAUACAUUUACCCUUAAAGCUAUUAUGUAUCUUAUGAAGCCUACUAGAAUUAGUUACAAGCAAUCCCUUAUUUCUUAUCAUAAUGAAAAUCAAUUUUAAGAGUAAAAAGGUGACGAUUUUUGUGAACGUAUAUUAAAUUUUCAUAAAUGUACUGACAAUGAACAGUCAUAAUAUUUAUUUCUUUCAAUUUUUCUUUGAGAGACUGUCUAUAAGCAAGCUGAUAUAUAGCACGAACAGCUCUCUUUUGCAGAGCAAACACUAUAUUAAUGUCAGCAGUAUGACCCCAAAAUAAAAUACCGUACGUCAUGAUGCUGUGAAAAUAACUGAAGUACACUAAUCUAGCGGUCGCAACAUUCGUGUACUCUCUGAUCUUUCUAACUGCAUAUGCCGCAGAGCUGAGUCUAUCUGCUAGAUGGGCAAUAUGUGGACCCCACUGAAGCUUUUUAUCUAACGUGAUACCCAAGAAGACCGUAGUGUCCACAAGUUCCAUUCUCUGGUCAUUUAUAAGUACGUUGGUUUGUACCUCCGCUGUGUUUGGUGUAAUGAACCGUAAACACUUUGUUUUUUUACUGUCGGCAUACUUAUUUAGAUGAAUUGUUUUUUUUUUACUUUUAUUUUGUGUAUAUAGAUAAUUAUAAUAUUUAAUAAAUUUAAUAAAAAAAUGUC